GCAGCCGCCGCGGUAAUACGAAGGGUGCAAGCGUUAAUCGGAAUUACUGGGCGUAAAGCGUGCGUAGGCGGUUUGUUAAGUCUGCUGUGAAAUCCCCGGGCUCAACCUGGGAAUGGCAGUGGAUACUGUCAAGCUAGAGUGUGUCAGAGGAUGGUGGAAUUCCCGGUGUAGCGGUGAAAUGCGUAGAGAUCGGGAGGAACAUCAGUGGCGAAGGCGGCCAUCUGGGACAACACUGACGCUGAGGCACGAAAGCGUUGGGAGCAAACAGGAUUAGAUACCCCCGUAGUCCCUGUCUCUUAUAC
rnacentral:rRNA from 1 species